GGGGCGGUGGUCCAGUGGUUAGGUCGCUCUGUCUUGUAGGCAGAGAGUCGGUGGUUCGAAUCCAUCCCGCUCCA
rnacentral:tRNA from 1 species